rnacentral:lncRNA from 1 species
UACACUUGGUAGUUCUUUAUUAAUUAAUACAAUACACAAUGUGAACAUAGAAAUGGUGUGUAGUCAUCACUACAACAAAGUACUGUGUCCCAAAUGGCAUCCGACUAUCUAUAUAGUGUACAACUUUAGGCCAGGAUGCAUAGGGCUCUGGUCUAAAGUAGUGCACUGCAUAGGGAAUAGGGUGCCAUUGGGGACGCAAAAUGAACCGUACCGAUAGUUUCUCCCCCAGCUACGACACCUACAGUAUAGAAAAUAAUUUGUGAGCACAAUAAAUGAUCAUCCCAAUAGCCAUCAUGAAGACAAUUCACCCCCAAAACACAAUAUAAAAACACCCUACAAAAAACUGAUGAAUCAUAAAAAAAUAACAUCUCUUUUCUAACGUAUUGGACUGUCAAAGAGCACAAGAGCAUUGCUGAAAAAUACUUUCUGCAGAUAAAAGACAAAGUUUGGAAGAGGGAAGGUUCACCUCAGCAGUGAAGAAUAGGUCAACAUGGUACUGUAGUCCAGUCUAUGAAUGGCACAGUUCUGUAUCGGACUCAACACACUUGGUUUUUAGAUACUUAAGGAGAACGAUGAAGAGAGAGAGAGAGCGCCGUACUGUAUAUACAGGAGAGAGAGAGAGAGAGAGAGAGAGCCAUACUGUAUAUACAGGAGAGAGAGAGAGCGCCAUACUGUAUAUACAGGAGAGAGAGAGGCUGUAUAGUCUAUCCUCACAACCUGCCUGGCACCCUAUUCCCUAUGGACCCUAUGCCCCCUGGUCAGAAGUAGUGCACUAUGAAGGGAAUAGACUGCCAUCUGGGACACUCAGAGAGAUGGAAUGAUUUUCUGAGGACGCGGACAUCCUACCACUGUGACUGGUUUGUUUCAGCAUGGUCAGUUCAUCUUGUAGUUUCCUCCUCUUAUCAGUAGUGCACUAUGAAGGGAAUAGGGUGCCAUCUGGGACACAGGCUAUGAACCCUUUUCCAUCCAAACCACUAUGUUACAAUAAGGAUUAUCAGAUUUUAUACCUGGUACAUUCUGGUGUCAUCCUGUAAGCACCGUUUUAUUGAGAAUUUGGCAUGAAAAAGAAUGUUGUCUCUAGCUCCGCUCUCAUCCCUUUCUGCCCCCCGUAUCGGUCCCCCUCCUCUCUCCACAACAAACAUCAUUUCCCCUCACAGCCGAAUGUCCCGGUGGUACAGUCUCUUCGCCGGUAUGAAUAUGUUUCCACCUACUCCCUGCGUGAUCUUCCAGUUCUCAAAAGGCCACUUGGUGGCUUGAACAAUGUGUUCGUGUUUGUGCAUACAUACUGCCUGUUGGGCCUAGCCUACUGCCUGUUCCCUCUCCAGCUGGAGCUCUGCAUAAACAGCAGCAGGACAGGGUCAUGUUCAUUAGGGCACACUGUUUCAAGAUGUUUUACAACAGAAAAGGAAAACAAGUAUUAUUGCACAAGGACGUGAAUUACAGGAUAUGCUUCACAUGCCUUCCUGCUUGGCUCCAGGGUGCUGAUUCUAUUGGCUCUAAGGCACAGGGUGGGUCCAGGGUGUGUCUGUUUUUUGUAACAUGGCUGGAUCCCAGGUGAUCCACCCAUGGGAGAGUGGCAUACCAGUCCUAUUGUUCACAGCUCUCUGUACAGCUACCAUGGGAAUGAGAGCAGGUCUGACCUCAUGGAGUCGCAGCUCUGUGAGAGAGAGGAGGUAUGGAGGACAAUGAGUUCUGUCCCUGAUACACUGAUUACUACUUCACUGUGUUAGGAAUGUUGAUUACAUCAUUUACAUUACACAUUUAGUCUUUAUUCAUUAAUGUUGAUUAAUGCGUUAUAGUAUGCCAUGAAACAUUGUAUACCUGUCUGCUUAGUGCCAACUUGUGUCAAUUUGCUCUAAUAUCAUAACAUGAAAUUACUAAUUCUGUCUUCGAUGACGCAUUAACAUACAGUAUAAAACAGACGAUAUGUUCCAAUGUUCAUACUAGCAUACCUUUUAGAACGCAUGGCCAGGUAUUAUCCUAGUGUGGACACUGGGACAGAGCUGGUGUUCAGAAUGCAUGGCCAGGUAUUAUCCUAGUGUGGACACUGCUGGUGUUCAGAACGCAUGGCCAGGUAUUAUCCUAGUGUGGACACUGGGACACAGCUGGUGUUCAGAACACAUGGCCAGAUAUUAUCCUAGUGUGGACACUGCUGGCGUUCAGAACGCAUGGCCAGGUAUUAUCCUAGUGUGGACACUGGGACACAGCUGGUGUUCAGAACACAUGGCCAGAUAUUAUCCUAGUGUGGACACUGGGACACAGCUGGUGUUCAGAACACAUGGCCAGAUAUUAUCCUAGUGUGGACACUGCUGGCGUUCAGAACGCAUGGCCAGGUAUUAUCCUAGUGUGGACACUGGGACACAGCUUGUGUUUUGGCAUCCUUAUUACCCCUGAGGUUGUCAGCUCUGAAAUACUUACAGACAAACAUGCGGAUGCACAUUCCACACAUGGCACAGACGUUGGCAAUCUGAAGAGCCCGUCCACACUCUCCACUCAUCACGCAGUUCCUGGUCUUCAGACAGCACGUCUUACAGCCGCUGUCCCCCCCGUGCUUCAUGUCCCCCUCUCCGUCCCCCUCAGACCCGCUGAAGCAGCAGCCCAUGUCUGUCUGGCUGUCCGUCUGGCUGUCUGGUAACCGCUGAAAG